rnacentral:tRNA from 1 species
AAGUCUAUACUUUUUUUAGAA